rnacentral:rRNA from 1 species
AAACUUCACAAUGGGCGAAAGCCCGAUGAGGGAAUUCCUAGUGCUAGCACAUUUGUGUUAGCUUUUCCUUAGCGUAGAUAACUAGGGGAAUAAGGGCUGGGUAAGACGGGUGCCAGCCGCCGCGGUAAUACCCGCAGCCCGAGUGGUGGUCGAUUUUAUUGAGUCUAAAACGUUCGUAGCCGGUCUGAUAAAUCCCUGGGUAAAUCGGGUGGCUUAACCAUCCGAAUUCCGGGGAGACUGUCAGGCUUGGGAUCGGGAGAGGUAUGAGGUACUUCAGGGGUAGGGGUAAAAUCCUGUAAUCCUUGGAGGACCACCGGUGGCGAAGGCGUCAUACUAGAACGAAUCCGACGGUGAGGGACGAAGCCCUAGGUCGCAAACGGGAUUAGAUACCCGGUAGUCUAGGGUGUAAACGCUGCAGACUAGGUGUUGGAGGCCCUACGGGGGCGACCCAGUGCCCGAGAGAAGUUGUUAAGUCUGCUACUUGGGGAGUACGUCCGCAAGGAUGAAACUUAAAGGAAUU